rnacentral:tRNA from 1 species
GCCGGUUUGGCUCAGUGAUAGAGCGCCGCCCUAGUACGACGGAGGCAAACAGUUCAACCUCACCGGCGCCA